rnacentral:rRNA from 1 species
AGUGAACGCUGGCGGUAGGCCUAACACAUGCAAGUCGAACGGCAGCACAGUAAGAGCUUGCUCUUACGGGUGGCGAGUGGCAGACGGGUGAGGAAUACAUCGGAAUCUACUUUUUCGUGGGGGAUAACGUAGGGAAACUUACGCUAAUACCGCAUACGACCUACGGGUGAAAGCAGGGGAUCUUCGGACCUUGCGCGAUUGAAUGAGCCGAUGUCGGAUUAGCUAGUUGGCGGGGUAAAGGCCCACCAAGGCGACGAUCCGUAGCUGAUCUGAGAGGAUGAUCAGCCACACUGGAACUGAGACACGGUCCAGACUCCUACGGGAGGCAGCAGUGGGGAAUAUUGGACAAUGGGCGCAAGCCUGAUCCAGCCAUACCGCGUGGGUGAAGAAGGCCUUCGGGUUGUAAAGCCCUUUUGUUGGGAAAGAAAAGCAGCAGGUUAAUACCCCGCUGUUCUGACGGUACCCAAAGAAUAAGCACCGGCUAACUUCGUG